rnacentral:rRNA from 1 species
GGUGAACGCUGGCGGCGUGCUUAACACAUGCAAGUCGAACGGAGUUUACAUGUGAGCGGAGGGUGCUUGCAUCUAACAAUCUUUUGUAAACUUAGUGGCGGACGGGUGAGUAACGCGUGGGUAACCUGCCGUAUACAGGGGGACAACAGUUGGAAACGACUGCUAAUACCGCAUAAGCGCACAGGACCGCAUGGUCUGGUGUGAAAAGCUCCGGCGGUAUGAGAUGGACCCGCGUCUGAUUAGCUGGUUGGCGGGGUAGCGGCCCACCAAGGCGACGAUCAGUAGCCGGCCUGAGGAGGGUGAACGGCCACAUUGGGACUGAGACACGGCCCAA